rnacentral:rRNA from 1 species
AGAGUUUGAUCCUGGCUCAGGAUGAAUUCUAGCGGCAGGCUUAACACAUGCAAGUCGAGGGGCAGCGGGGAGGAAGCUUGCUUUCUCCGCCGGCGACCGGCGCACGGGUGAGUAACACGUAUGCAACCUGCCCCUGUCAGGGGGACAACCAGCCGAAAGGCGGGCUAAACCCGCGUACAUGCCACCGGGGCAUCCCGGAGGCAGGAAAGGCUUCGGCCGGACAGGGAUGGGCAUGCGGCGCAUUAGGCAGUAGGCGGGGUAACGGCCCACCUAACCGACGAUGCGUAGGGGUUCUGAGAGGAAGGUCCCCCACACUGGUACUGAGACACGGACCAGACUCCUACGGGAGGCAGCAGUGAGGAAUAUUGGUCAAUGGUCGGGAGACUGAACCAGCCAAGCCGCGUGAGGGAGGAAGGUACAGAGUAUCGUAAACCUCUUUUGUCAGGGAACAAAGGCGGGGACGUGUCCCCGGAUGAGUGUACCUGAAGAAAAAGCAUCGGCUAACUCCGUGCCAGCAGCCGCGGUAAUACGGAGGAUGCGAGCGUUAUCCGGAUUUAUUGGGUUUAAAGGGAGCGUAUACGGCGAGGUAAGCCUGAAGUGGAAACCCGCGGCCCAACCCGCGGAACUGCUUUGGGAACUUGUUUUUGCUGGAGUAUGGGAGGGGGUAAAGCGGAAUUCCUGGGUGUAGCGGUGAAAUGCGUAGAUAUCAGGAGGAACACCGGUGGCGAAGGCGGCUUACUGGACCAUAACUGACGUUGAGGCUCGAAAGCGUGGGGAGCGAACAGGAUUAGAUACCCUGGUAGUCCACGCCGUAAACGAUGAUUACCAGGUGUCGGGUGUCGAAGGACGGCCGGUGCCGCAGCGAACGCAGUAAGUAAUCCACCUGGGGAGUACGGUCGCAAGAAUGAAACUCAAAGGAAUUGACGGGGACCCGCACAAGCGGUGGAGCAUGUGGUUUAAUUCGAAGCAACGCGAAGAACCUUACCCGGCCUUGACAUCCCCCUGACAGUAUCUGUAAUGGAUAUUUCCUUCGGGACAGGGGAGACAGGUGGUGCAUGGUUGUCGUCAGCUCGUGUCGUGAGAUGUUGGGUCAAGUCCCGCAACGAGCGCAACCCCUGCCCCCAGUAGCCAGCAUUUAAGAUGGGCACUCUGGGGGGACUGCCGGGGAUAACCCGGAGGAAGGCGGGGAUGACGUCAAAUCAUCAUGCCCCUUAUGGCCGGGGCUACACACGUGCUACAAUGGCGUAAACAAAGGGAAGCGAGCGUGUGAAUGUAAGCAAAUCUCAAAAAUAACGUCUCAGUUCGGAUUGUAGUCUGCAACUCGACUACAUGAAGCUGGAAUCGCUAGUAAUCGCGAAUCAGCAUGUCGCGGUGAAUACGUUCCCGGGUCUUGUACUCACCGCCCGUCAAG